rnacentral:rRNA from 1 species
AUCGAACGCUGGCGGCAGGCCUAACACAUGCAAGUCGAGCGCAGCGGCGGAAGGGUGAGUAAUGCCUAGGAAUCAACCUGGUGGUGAGGGACAACGUCCGGAAGCGUGAGAUUAUAACGCAUACGAUCAAGUGGGCCUAGGUCGGCUUAGCUAGUUGGUGGGGUAAAGGCCUACCAAGGCGACGAUCCGUAACUGGUCUGAGAGGAUGAUCAGUCACACUGGAACUGAGCCACGGUCCAGACUCCUACGGGAGGCAGCAGUGGGGAAUCUUUGCCAAUGGGCGAAAGUCUGAGCCAGCCAUGCCGCGUGUGUGAAGAAGGUCUUCGGAUUGUAAAGCACUGUUAGUUGGGAGGCGUUACCAACAGAGUAAGCACCGGCUAACUUCGUGCCAGCAGCCGCGGUAAUAC